rnacentral:misc_RNA from 1 species
UCAUUUAGAGGAAGGAGAAGUUGUAACAAGGUUUCCGUAGGUGAACCUGCAAAAGGAUCAUUUUCGAAACUUGCCUAGUAGAAUGACCCGCGAACGUGUUAAAAAACCAAACAAUUCAGUUGGGGGAAAGUGUGGGUCCCCACCUCGUCGGUCCCGCGUUUCCCCCUAACCUAACAAUAAACCCCAGCGCAAUCUGUGCCAAAGAACUACAAUGAAGAGAUCGUCACCUCACCGUUGCCACAUGCACGUGCCGAACUCUUACUUUAAGAUCCAAAAUGACUCUCGAUAACGGAUAUCUCGGCUCUUACAUCAAUAAAGAACGUAGCGAAAUACGAUACUUGGUGUGAAUUACAGAAUCUCGUGAACCAUCGAGUCUUGAACGCAAGUUACGCCCUAAGCCAUUAGGCCGAGUGCACGUCUGUUUGGGUGUCACACAUCGUCGCCCCCCCCGAAACCCCUCGCAUCGCAGGGUGGUGCUUGAGGGGGGCAGGUACUAGCCUCUUGUAUGCUUUGCCACCCGCGGUUGGCCCAAAAUCAAGUCCCACGGCAUCGAGUGCCAUGACAAAUGGUGGUUGACUUAAUCCAAAGACCUCGAUACACCGUCAUGUGCGCCUAUCACCAUCGAGGUGGUUCUUUAUGACCCUAACCUUUCGCAUCGCGAUCCUAAGUUAGGUGGGACUACCCGUUGAGUUUAAGCAUAUC